AGUGAACGCUGGCGGUAGGCCUAACACAUGCAAGUCGAACGGCAGCACAGUAAGAGCUUGCUCUUACGGGUGGCGAGUGGCGGACGGGUGAGGAAUACAUCGGAAUCUACUUUUUCGUGGGGGAUAACGUAGGGAAACUUACGCUAAUACCGCAUACGACCUACGGGUGAAAGCAGGGGAUCUUCGGACCUUGCGCGAUUGAAUGAGCCGAUGUCGGAUUAGCUAGUUGGCGGGGUAAAGGCCCACCAAGGCGACGAUACGUAGCUGGUCUGAGAGGAUGAUCGGCCACACUGGACCUGCAACACGGUCCAGACUCCUACGGGAGGCAGCAGUGGGGAAUAUUGGACAAUGGGCGCAAGCCUGAUCCAGCCAUACCGCGUGAGUGAAGAAGGCCUUCGGGUUGUAAAGCCCUUUUGUUGGGAAAGAAAAGCAGCAGGUUAAUACCCCGCUGUUCUGACGGUACCCAAAGAAUAAGCACCGGCUAACUUCGUG
rnacentral:rRNA from 1 species